rnacentral:rRNA from 1 species
UGGGGAAUAUUGGACAAUGGGCGCAAGCCUGAUCCAGCCAUGCCGCGUGAGUGAUGAAGGCCUUAGGGUUGUAAAGCUCUUUUGCCAGGGAAGAUAAUGACUGUACCUGGAGAAUAAGCCCCGGCUAACUUCGUGCCAGCAGCCGCGGUAAUACGAAGGGGGCUAGCGUUGUUCGGAAUCACUGGGCGUAAAGCGCACGUAGGCGGACUUUUAAGUCAGGGGUGAAAGCCUGAGGCUCAACCUCAGAACUGCCCUUGAUACUGGGAGUCUUGAGUAUGGUAGAGGUUGGUGGAACAGCAAGUGUAGAGGUGAAAUUCGUAGAUAUUUGCUAGAACACCAGUGGCGAAGGCGGCCAACUGGACCAUAACUGACGCUGAGGUGCGAAAGCGUGGGGAGCAAACA